CCUUUGACGUUAGCGGCGGACGGGUGAGUAACACGUGGGUAACCUACCUAUAAGACUGGGAUAAACUUCGGGGAAACCGGAGCUAAUACCGGAUUAAUAUUUCGAACCGCAUGGUUCGAUAGUGAAAGGUGGUUUUGCUAUCACUUAUAGAUGGACCCGCGCCGUAUUAGCUAGUUGGUAAGGUAACGGCUUACCAAGGCGACGAUACGUAGCCGACCUGAGAGGGUGAUCGGCCACACUGGAACUGAGACACGGUCCAGACUCCUACGGGGAGGCAGCAGCC
rnacentral:rRNA from 1 species